CGGCUUCAGUUGAAUUUAACCCCACCGUACUCAUUUUCUACAUCUGUUUCCAACAAUAUUACAUACAAAAAAUAUGAAGGCACACAAAUAAAUAUUCUGAUUUGUGUUUUUGCUUUAUAUUUAAAUAUGUAGAAGCACGAAGACUCCACAAUGACCCUGCUGCAAAGCUUAGUCGGCCUUUUCCUUGGCUACUUUAUCUGUGGAAUUCCAUGUCUAUAUUUUUUAAAUAUCUUCAGGACAAAGAAAGUUCAGUCCUGUUCAUGUUGGCGAGCAAGUUGCGAGUUCUUUCCAACAGGGCUCUUUGUGCCUGGAUACAUCUGGGUCAACCAAUAUGGGUUGAUAACAAUGUAACCCCGAGAAGAAAGCCAAAUUAGGACGAUUUGUGGUUUUGUGGUCCAUUCGAUAAUCUUGUGAGAGGUUACAGUUUGUUGUUUAUUUUAAAAAGUUACUCGACUUUGGAAAGCGAGUUAGAGGAGAAUAUUGUGAACAAAAAGGAGUUUCAAAGCCUGCAAAGUAGACUGACUUUCACAACUUAGCGGAAACUUAGAAGCUUCACAGCCGAAAGUGCAGAAGCAGAAAAAGUCAUGAAAUGCGAGAAAAACAAAGUCGAGGAAAUUGCGCGCACUCAAUAAAGGGCGAAAUGCUGUCAGCAAUUUGACACCACGUUCGCCAAACAUUCAACUGAGUUUAGUAUGCAGCGACUGGACAAAAAAGGGGAGAAAAUGAAAUUAGAAAGAAUAAAAGACUCAGAAAUAUUCAAGCUGAGACGCUGUGGGGUCGUCGGUAACAACAAAAACAACACCAAUGAAAACAGCAGCAGCCGCAAACUGUAAAUCCAAUAAAAUAGUUUAAGUAACGUUGAAUGAGUACGCACGAGUUGCCUGCCAUGACCUAAUCUCUCUGAAAGCAAAAACACGCAAGCCGAGUGAAUGUGUGCUCUUGCUGUUUCGGUUGAUGCCAAGAGAACAGCUAACUGAGGGAUGUGAGGGGUUUGGAUGCGUGAGAUGAAGUGUGAGUUGCGCCUUACGCCUCCUUCACAUCGUGCCUCUUAAACACCUAGAGCUCACAAAAGUUAGAAUGAAGGCGACGUUGCACACACGUUCAUCAAGCCGCGCGACCACAAGAAUGAAUCUGAAAGCGAAUGUUUACGUGCAGCGGGGUGUAUGUCGAACGCACUCGCAUGCAGCAACCGCAAAACCAACACUCUGCCCGAACAAUCACUACCACGCUAUCCCGUCGCUCGCCUCCAGCCACUGCUUAGUUCGCUAACUAAACCGCAGCAGGCAUCCAAGCAGCCAGGCAGCCGGCAGGCAAAACAAACACAUACUUUCGGCUAGUUCGCCUUUGUUAUUGUCUGACUGUAUUCCUGCCUCUACCAAGCCACCAAGAGCUUUUUACGCUAUGCUGUUGUUUGGAGCUGGCACGAGCACCACUAAAUUCACUCAUUCGCUCACGCAGACGAGCUGUCAUCAUUCCAACAAAGUGUAGCAGUAAUGUGUCAACAGGGAGGCGCUGUUGGAGGUGUAUAUCACAUGUGCAUAUGCGUGUCCGUGUGGUGGGCGCAACUCGAAGUUACUGAUCCGAGUAGGCUGUGAAAGAGCGUGUAGAAGUUGUUUAGAUUGGGGGGAUACGGCUUGGGUACUGGUCGAAGCGUUCCACUGCACAGCAGGAGCCCGUCUGCCUGUGUAAUGCAGUGGAAGCGAGACUUUCGUGGCUUCAAUUCUUCCUAAAUGUGCAUUCCCGCCCGUUGAACUCAGAGGAUGGUCCGUCCCACCAGCCGUCUACCGCUGGAAAAAGGAAUGUGCGCAAGAGCUAAAUAUCAACACGUGAAUGAGUUCCUGUGUGAGCGUAUGUUUGGAAGUUUUAAAAGUAUAUCACAAUAUGAUCAGAACGAUGUAGUAAAUGUGAUAAUCAGAAUGUUCUGUAUAACUUGUUUGAGUAAAAGGCAAAAACACAAGUAAAUCCAUUCAGACGACCAUUAUUUUUAUGGGAGUUGCCACCUUCGAAUUUGAGCCAAAGAAUCUUCUAGACGAACAAUAGUCAAGCUAAACAUAUUUCUCAGACAAUGGAUAAAGACUCACACCGGAAGAAAGUUACAAAAUCGUGUAACUUUGUUUUCAAAACUCCAACAAUCCUUUACUCAGGAAAAUUGGUUUCAGGAGUUUUUUUUCUAAUUUCACGUAUCUCAUGCCAACUUUAAAGCGAUGUGGUGGAACCAUUUGCCAAAUUGCGAAAACAGCGUCCCGGCGGAUAAUGGAGACUUGCUAGUACGUAACCGUAUGCACUACAAGUGCGGAAAAUCUCCAACUAACCGAAAAUUUCACGUAAACUAAGUGUGCAAUGCGUUUGUACGCACUUUCUCAGAGCCGGCGGAGUGCGAGCGCGAAAAUCAGAAGAGGUAAGGUGGUUCUGUUUCUCACGCCGGAAAACGUUCUCCAUUGGUUUCCAUUUUCUGGGUUUCACUCAGUCAUUUUUUCGUUCCGGGAAGGUCACGUAUAUUGAGAAAUACUCAAAUAUUCAGAACUUUUCGAAAUACAACCCGACAAAUAUUUUUAAAAUUUAAACUGUUUUCAAGUUAUGGCUAAAAAUCCCAAACCUUAAAACUAAUUAACCAGCUAACGUGUCAGUUAUAUAGACCCUUGCAAAUUUUUCUUUAUACGUUGAAAUUUCUUCCGGCAACGAUUGAGCAUAGUAAGAAAUCGAAAUAAGAUUGAAAUGCAAGCAUGGUCAAACAUUGGUGGUAUGCAAUUUUUUGAUUUCAAUGAAGACAUCAGGCUUAGUAUAAUGGCGACAAAGUUCUUAAAUACUGAAAUACUUGUAUGUAUGUUUUUGUAAUAAAAUUUAUAUACACAGUUUUUAAUAAAAAUACACAAAUGUAUAAAUGUAUUUUCCAUUUCAAAUUGCACUAAAUAGCUAACUUGCUCCGAGGAGCUUGGAGUUCUUCUUCUGCAAAUUUAAAUGUCGACCAGCAAAACAUCCAGGCCACAGUGAAAAAACCGGUUACUGCCUAAAUCAUUACUCAUUACUGCCAGCGGGGAAUUCUGCGUGUGACACAUUAACACAGAAGGAGAAUGUGUUGCGUAACACAAACACACGCGUUCAGCACCGCAAGUUCUUCAGGAAUAUAAUUAAAGAAAUUAAAUCCAUCAAAGUGAUAUCUCAACUUGAGUGUGACGUUUGCUUAUUCUUAUGUGCAUACAUACUCGUUUGCUUAUCUACAGAAUAAUGACAACACAAACCUUUAUUCAAGGGGCGUGGAAAUAGCGUGACACUUCCUUGCUGCAAAUAACAACAACAACAAUAGCCAUGUUGUCUCGGAGUAAUUUAUUUUAUAUGCCUGAAACACACGCACACGAAGGACAUAAAUAAGUAUCGGUAGACAGAGUUGAGUGACAAUAUAUAAUAUACAAGUGUGUGUAGUAUGUAUAGAUAAUCAGAAGGAACGUUAUGAGCUUUUGAAAAGGUUCGCCGAUUCAUUAACAAUCAUAAAAAUUUACAAUCAUUAAAUUUCUAUUAUGCAAAUUUUAUCAUUUUCAUAAAUUUGAUUGAUGAUCGUUGACACCAACAACAAU